UGCCAGGCGCUAACUAACAGGUUAAAACUCAACUCCGUCAGGUCCGGAAGGAAGCAGCGGUCGGUACUUAAUUUGUGUAGUUAGUUAGCUUGGCAUUU
rnacentral:SRP_RNA from 1 species